rnacentral:tRNA from 1 species
GAUCCGGUGGCAGAAUGGAUAUGCGCCCGGACUUGCAAGCUGGGAGACGUCGGUUCGAUUCCGACCCGGAUCU